rnacentral:misc_RNA from 1 species
ACAAACUUGGUCAUUUAGAGGAAGUAAAAGUCGUAACAAGGUUUCCGUAGGUGAACCUGCGGAAGGAUCAUCAUAAAAAUAAUGAUUUUUUUAUAAAGUACUAAGUAUGUAUAUUAUUAUGAUGUACAUACUACUACUUUAUAAAAAAUUGUCCCUAUAUACGCCCCAUAUACGAUAAAUAAUCGUCGUAGUUAUAAAUUAUAUAAUAUUAUAAAAAUAUUCUUAUUUACUACAACUUUUAACGAUGGAUCUCUUGGCUCUCGCAUCGAUGAAGAACGCAGC